CCUGCCCCCGAACAGCUGCUGCCCACAGUCUGAGACCACAGAGCCAAGAGCCGUACAAACCUGGGUCAGAGAGGCCUGAGACUGGGUCCCUGCCUCUCAAACAGAAAACAUUCCUGUGGCCCAGCAGAGGGCAGAUGGUAGCCAUAGCCACAGGAAAAGACUAGAGGGAACAACACUGCGCUAUGUCUAUUGGCUUCCAAAUCCUUCUCCACACUUUCCUAUCCAUCUGUGGCGAUGUGAUCUCGGGGCAGGGAUAGGAUAAGCACUUGUCGACUGUCUGGGACAAGCCUGAACUGGGGUUCUCACCAUGCAGCCUGACCAGAGCCUCGAAAAAUAGAUGUUCCUCCUCCGUCUCAAAACUGCCUCAGAAGCCUGGAGUAGUUGAGUAUGCUGUCGGCUUCCUGACUAGAACCACAGCGACCCCUGGUGGCCAUUCUCUGUACCUACAUCUGCUUCAAGCUAUUCCAUGCUCCUGCUUGCUAUUCCCACAACCUUUAUUGCCCAACUGCCCUUGGCUACUGGGCCCACUCCCUCUCCCCAGGGGCAUCCCUUAGCCAGCAGUCUCUGCCUCAUGCUCUCUCCUUCUAGGGAACUCAGCCCCGCAGGAUCCCAACACACAGAAAGUCACGGGGUCACUUGCUGAAUGAGAGAAUCUAAGCAUUUCCUCAGAGUGAAAAGUGCUCCGCACACAGCAGGUGCCUAAUAGUUGCUUCCUGGAAGCUGGGCAUCCCAGCGUUCUCACUGUAGUCCCAUCUCUGGAGUGACUGCCCACACGCCCCUUUUUAUUUCUUAUUUAUUUCGUAAAUAAGUAAUUGCUAUGUAACCCAGGUUGGCUUCAAAUUCAUCGUUGCCCUGCUUCAGCCUGUUGAGGUCUGCACCACACUGCUGUUCACGGCCCAAGUCCUAAUCAUGAGCCCUGGGUUUUAGUUUCGGGGCUCCUGAACAAGCCUCUUAGUGUUAAGACCCUUUCAAAUUCUAAAGAUUAAGAAAGAAAUAUUUCUGGCGUGGGAGAGGCGCUCUGGAACACUCAUAAAAUAAAAUUCCUUAAGGUUGCCCAUCCCCGAA